rnacentral:rRNA from 1 species
UGGCUCAGGAUGAACGCUGGCGGCGUGCCUAACACAUGCAAGUCGAACGGAGAUUAACGCUGACGAGACUUCGGUCAAAUCUUGUUAAAUCUUAGUGGCGGACGGGUGAGUAACGCGUGGGCAACCUGCCUCAUACUGGGGGAUAGCAGUUGGAAACGACUGAUAAUACCGCAUAAGCGCACGGUAUCGCAUGAUACAGUGUGAAAAACUCCGGUGGUAUGAGAUGGGCCCGCGUCAGAUUAGCUAGUUGGUAAGGUAACGGCUUACCAAGGCGACGAUCUGUAGCCGGACUGAGAGGUCGGACGGCCACAUUGGGACUGAGACACGGCCCAAACUCCUACGGGAGGCAGCAGUGGGGGAUAUUGCACAAUGGAGGAAACUCUGAUGCAGCGACGCCCGCGUGAGUGAAGAAGUAUUUCGGUAUGUAAAGCUCUAUCAGCAGGGAAGAAAGGCCCGCAAGGGAGAUGACGGUACCUGACUAAGAAGCCCCGGCUAACUACGUGCCAGCCGCCGC